ensembl:snRNA
ACCAUCCUUUUCUUGGGGUUGUCCAACGAGCACAGUGAGGGCAGGACUGCUAACACCUACACAACACGCUUGUAUCAACUAAAACUUUGCUUUAUGUUGGUGCAAUUUUUGAAAGA